UGUGGCAAAGUGGCAUCAUGAACAGGGACUUCAAGGACGUGAAUGAAGAAGGUCUGCUGGAGCAGAGGAAGUGAAGCUAACAAGAUGAACGAGGACCUAGGGACAAAUCUGCCAGCAGGGAGUAUAAGGAGAUGGACAAACCAUUUGGGUGUCCUCAAGGUGCAUGCAACCAUGGAACAGGAGACUGGAGGGAUCCAUGGCGGCCAACCAUGGGCCUGGUCCCUCCGGUAUGGGCCAUGAGCCAGCUGAGCCUGAGUGUGAAGAUGGAGAAAAGGCUGACCGGAGUCACGAGGACAUCAAAC
rnacentral:lncRNA from 10 species